rnacentral:rRNA from 1 species
UACGGAGGGUGCGAGCGUUGUCCGGAAUCACUGGGCGUAAAGGGCGCGUAGGUGGCGCGGGCAGUCAACGGUGAAAGUUCGGGGCUCAACCCUGAAUCGGCCGUCGAUACUCCCGUGCUUGAGCACUGUAGAGGCAGAUGGAAUUCCGGGUGUAGCGGUAGAAUGCGUAGAGAUCCGGAAGAACACCGGUGGCGAAGGCGGUCUGCUGGGCAGUAGCUGACACUGAGGCGCGACAGCGUGGGGAGCAAACAGG